AUCCAGUUGACGAGUCCCAAAUAGGACGAAAUGCACAUCCUCGCUGGAU
rnacentral:hammerhead_ribozyme from 1 species